GGCCGCGGGAAUUCGAUUCAGGCCUAACACAUGCAAGUCGAGCGAUUCUCUUCGGAGAAGAGCGGCGGACGGGUGAGUAACGCGUGGGUAACCUGCCCUGUACACACGGAUAACAUACCGAAAGGUAUGCUAAUACGAGAUAAUAUACUUUUAUCGCAUGGUAGAAGUAUCAAAGCUCCGGCGGUACAGGAUGGACCCGCGUCUGAUUAGCUAGUUGGUAAGGUAACGGCUUACCAAGGCGACGAUCAGUAGCCGACCUGAGAGGGUGAUCGGCCACAUUGGAACUGAGACACGGUCCAAACUCCUACGGGAGGCAGCAGUGGGGAAUAUUGCACAAGUGGGCGAAAGCCUGAUGCAGCAACGCCGCGUGAGCGAAAGAGGCCUUCGGGUCGUAAAGCUCUGUCCUCAAGGAAGAUAAUGAC
rnacentral:rRNA from 1 species